rnacentral:rRNA from 1 species
GUAUAUUGCACCAUGGGGGGAACCCUCAUCCCGCCAUGCCGCGUGUGUGAAGCAGGCCUUUUGGUUGUAAAGCACUUUAAGCGAGGAGGAGGAGCUCUUGGUUAAUACCCAAGAUGCUUGGACGAUACUCGCAGAAUAAGCACCGCCUCACUCUGUGCCAGCAGCAGCGGUAAUACAGAGGGGGCAAGCGUUAAGCGGAUUUACUGGGCGUAAAGCGCGCGUAGGUGGCGAAGUAAGUCAAAUGGGAAAUCCCCGAGCUUAACUUGGGAAUUGCAUUCGAUACUGGUUGGCUAGAGUAUGGGAGAGGAUGGUAGAAUGCCAGGUGUAGCGGUGAAAUGCGUAGAGAUCUGGAGGAAUACCGAUGGCGAAGGCAGCCAUCUGGCCUAAUACUGACACUGAGGUGCGAAAGCAUGGGGAGCAAACA